rnacentral:rRNA from 1 species
UACGGAGGGUGCGAGCGUUGUCCGGAAUCACUGGGCGUAAAGGACGCGUAGGCGGCCUGGCAAGUCGAUGGUGAAAGCCCGAGGCUCAACUUCGGGUCGGCCACUGAUACUGCUGGGCUUGAGUCGACUAGAGGCAGAUGGAAUUCCGGGUGUAGCGGUGGAAUGCGUAGAUAUCCGGAGGAACACCGGUGGCGAAGGCGGGUCUCUGGACAGUUCCUGACACUGAGGCACGAAGGCCAGGGGAGCAAACGGG